rnacentral:rRNA from 1 species
CGCUGGCGGCGUGCUUAACACAUGCAAGUCGAACGGACCAUUCAAAGAGCUUGCUUAGAGAAUGGUUAGUGGCGGACGGGUGAGUAACACGUGGAUAAUCUGCCUAUGACACAGGGAUAACACUGUGAAAACGGUGCUAAUACCAGAUACGUUUAUCGAAUCGCCUGAUUUGAUAAAGAAAGGAGAAAUCCGGUCAUAGAUGAGUCCGCGGCUGAUUAGCUAGUUGGUGGGGUAACGGCCUACCAAGGCGAUGAUCAGUAGCCGGCCUGAGAGGGUGAACGGCCACACUGGGACUGAGACACGGCCCAGACUCCUACGGGAGGCAGCAGUGGGGAAUCUUCCGCAAUGGACGAAAGUCUGACGGAGCAACGCCGCGUGAGUGAAGAAGGCCUUCGGGUUGUAAAACUCUGUCUUCAGGGAAGAAAAAAAUGACGGUACCUGAGGAGGAAGCCACGGCUAACUACGUGCCAGCAGCCGCGGUAAUACGUAGGUGGCAAGCGUUGUCCGGAAUUAUUGGGCGUAAAGGGCGCGUAGGCGGUCAUUUAAGUCAGCUGUGAAAACUCUGGGCUCAACCCAGAGAUUGCAGUUGAAACUGGAUGACUUGAGUGCAGGAGAGGACAGUGGAAUUCCUAGUGUAGCGGUGAAAUGCGUAGAUAUUAGGAGGAACACCAGU